rnacentral:lncRNA from 1 species
AUAUUCUUACUUACUUGACUGCACAAUUCUCUGCACGCACAUAUUUCUCACUAUUUUUAAAAAUCUACACAUAUCUCAUUUAAAUAUUUGAAAAUUAAUUCACCCCCUCUCUUCAGUUGUCUAGCUAGGCAAUACAUCAACGUCCUUAUUUCAAAAUUCAAAAGUGUCCGUAAUAUUUAAUCGACUUCAAAAUGAAAAAGAUAGGUGCAAUAACUACCUCAUAAAUUUCAAUCGAAAAUCUCACCACAUCGUGCCUGAAUCGGCCAUGUAACUUUCUGAAAUAGAUUUUUAACUUUCAUCUAUAAAAGGAUCUAAAGGAGACCCCUCAAGGUGCGUGCGAACAAUCUCUCUAUACUCCUCCUCAUCUAUUUUCAAUGUUAUCUGACUUGAGCGUCAAAGGAUCUCCAUUGAAACCAACUCCAAUCAAGACUUGCUUGUUGGUUUCUCUUCUGGGAGGACGUGCCACUGCUCCAGCCUCUCCAAUCAUGAUCCACAUUUUAACAACAACUGAGGCCAACACAGUGUUUGGCGAUCAAAGAUCAGUUUGAUCAAAUAAUUUUAUUGAAUCAAGAUCAGAUUAAGAUAUAAUUGACUCUAUAGAGAUCAAAUGAAUCAAAUUUGAUGGUAUGUGGAUCCAGCUAAGGUGGGUACUAGCACGCUGUCUGGUAAUCAAGGAUCAAAAUUUUUUACUAAGCUCAAUUAAAAUCGUCGAAAAAAAGCUCUUUACUCGAUCAAUCUUAGAGAGAUAAAUUUCAUAAAAGGAGAUAAUGCUAGAUAGAGAAAGUUGUAGAGAGAGAAAUUAGAAAGAGAAAGUGGGUUGCAAGCUAAAGAGAGAAGGGAGAGAAGGAAGAGAGAGAAAUUAGAGAGAGAACAUAGGCUGCAAGCCAAGAGAGAAGGGAGAGAGGGCACAGAGAGAAUAGCUCUCCUCCUUUUUUCUUUUCUUUCUUUUUUUCUCUUCUUCUUCCUUAAUGGAGCAGGGGAUUUGUGUUCUCCUUCCUAAAAUAGAUAAGGUUCUCCUCCCAGCCGGCAAUACCCAUGGCUGAAGGAGCAGACCCCAGUGGCAACAAUUGGCUUGGUCUGUUGACCACCAGUGGCAAAC